CAGGCCUAACACAUGCAAGUCGAGCGAGAAGGUAUUUGUAGAUUCUUCGGAAGAAAGAAAUACUAGAAAGCGGCGGACGGGUGAGUAACGCGUGGGCAACCUGCCCUGUGCAAAGGGAUAGCCACUGGAAACGGUGAUUAAUACCAUAUAAUACUUAUAUAUCGAGUGAUAAAUAAGUCAAAGAUUUAUCGGCACAGGAUGGGCCCGCGUCUGAUUAGCUAGUUGGUAAGGUAAAGGCUUACCAAGGCGACGAUCAGUAGCCGACCUGAGAGGGUGAUCGGCCACACUGGAACUGAGACACGGUCCAGACUCCUACGGGAGGCAGCAGUGGGGAAUAUUGCACAAUGGGCGAAAGCCUGAUGCAGCAACGCCGCGUGAGCGAUGAAGGCCUUCGGGUCGUAAAGCUCUGUCUUCAGGGAAGAAAAAUGACGGUACCUGAGGAGGAAGCCCCGGCUAACUACGUGCCAGCAGCCGCGGUAAUACGUAGGGGGCGAGCGUUAUCCGGAAUCAUUGGGCGUAAAGGGUGUGUAGGCGGUUUGGUAAGCGAGAGGUGAAAGGCUAUGGCUCAACCAUAGUAAGCCUCUCGAACUGCCAAACUUGAGUGCAGGA
rnacentral:rRNA from 1 species